rnacentral:rRNA from 1 species
CGGCGGGGCCCGCACAAGCGGUGGAGUAUGUGGUUUAAUUCGAUGCAACGCGAAGAACCUUACCUGGUCUUGACAUCCCGGAGACCCUUAGGAAACUAGGGGGUGCUUCCAUCUGGAAGAAUCUGGAGACAGGUGCUGCAUGGCUGUCGUCAGCUCGUGUCGUGAGAUGUUGGGUUAAGUCCCGCAACGAGCGCAACCCUUGCCUUUAGUUGCCAGCAGUUCGGCUGGGCACUCUAAAGGGACUGCCGGUGUUAAACCGGAGGAAGGUGGGGAUGACGUCAAGUCCUCAUGGCCUUUAUGACCAGGGCUACACACGUACUACAAUGGCCGAUACAAAGGGCAGCGACACUGCGAGGUGAAGCCAAUCCCGUAAAAUCGGUCUCAGUCCGGAUUGGAGUCUGCAACUCGACUCCAUGAAGUUGGAAUCGCUAGUAAUCGUGGAUCAGCAUGCCACGGUGAAUACGUUCCCGGGCCUU